UACGAAGGGGGCUAGCGUUGUUCGGAAUUACUGGGCGUAAAGCGCACGUAGGCGGAAUGUUAAGUCAGGGGUGAAAUCCCGGGGCUCAACCCCGGAACUGCCUUUGAUACUGGCAUUCUCGAGUCCGGAAGAGGUGAGUGGAAUUCCGAGUGUAGAGGUGAAAUUCGUAGAUAUUCGGAAGAACACCAGUGGCGAAGGCGGCUCACUGGCCCGGUACUGACGCUGAGGCACGAAAGCGUGGGGAGCAAACAGG
rnacentral:rRNA from 1 species